GCACCUGAAGGCUUCCCACUCUCUCUGCACACUGGCCCAGGAGCUUAGCAUAACACACUGGCUUCUCGGCUGGACUGAGUUACAGGAGUGCCUGUCUUCACUCUUAAGUCAGGCUUUUCUUCUUGGAUAGACCUGGGAUGUGUGUGAGAUGAGCAAUCUUAUACCAUGACAGCUUCUGAUAAAAGACAGGUGUAAGUCACACAGGCCAGCCGUACAGCCACAGUUUGGGGAAGGAUAAAGCACUGUGUAAAGUGAAUUUUUUUCUCCCUUGAGCUGCUGCGACGGUAGUACCUGCUCUGCAAUCUGCCUCCUCCAUCACAGUAUUGCAAGCUCUCCUAACAUGAGAGAAGUGACAUUUUUCCUUAAUAAGGAUUGGAAGGUCUGAACUAAAACAGUCCCCAGAACCAUAGCAUACUGCUGUUUCAGUGGAAGCUUUGUCUCAUUGACAGUUGCUGUCACUAGCAUCAAUAAUUUAAAGCCACAAACACUAUGAAGUUGUAAAUAAUUUAAAAUAUAUAAUUCAUGUCCAUUCUUAUUGCUGCAGCUCAGUCAGGAUCCAAACUUUUUAAUACCUGUACUUCUACUAAGGUGCACACACAAUACCCAGCCUGCAGCAGUUCCUCCAAACCAGCUCCUAUUAUUUUUAUUUGCUUAGCAUUUUAACAUUAUGUUCUUGAAAGCAGAAGCUCUGGCAUACUGUAGCACACUAGCGUACCAGGUUCUGAAACUUUUUUUUUCUUAAAAGGUUCCCUAGAAGAACAGGAGCACCAUAAAGUCACAGAAACCCCUUAAAUAAAUAAUAAUUUGAUUUAAAAAAAAAUGUGCCCAGAAUUCUCACUGCUUACCGAAAUGUUAUACAAAAAUAUAUUGAAUCAAAAUAAGAUUUUUUCAACUCUGAGCAAUACUAAAACAAACAAGAACUCCCCCAAAAAAAUCAAAACAAAACCUAACUCUCAUUUUAAAGUUGUCUGGAUUUUCUUCCUUCUUUGUAGAAUAAGAAAGCAAGCUGGAUGGAAAGAAACCUUGUAAAGUCUUCUUUAAGGGCAAGUUUCUGACAAGAACCCUUUCCAGUACCUUCAGGUUUCUUUCCUGAUAUGAAAUGUUCACAAAUCAGAUGUUAAUCAGCUACCCAAGUGGGGUUAGGUAAGUCUCCCAGGUGACAAGUGCCUUUGAACCACAGACAUUCCAGUAUUGUUGAGAGAUACUGAGGAACUGCUGCUUGCUUUUCAAAAGGAAACAUGAGUGCAGUUGUCACUGCAGGAGAAUAUUCUUGUUACCAAUAUAAUUUGCAUGCAUUAAUGUUUUUUACCUGUAUAGGUGAGGUUGCUUUUCUGAACAAGGACAUUGUACUCAGUUACUAAUACCCUGUUUUUCUGAUGAAGAUUAUGACAUUCUUCUGCUGUGGGACUCAUAGAGUUCAGAAAAGGGGGGCAGGGGGAUCUUUACUUUUUUGUUCAUUUUCUUCUAAAAGGAAAGAAAAGUUGGCAGGCUUUAUUGCAUCUCUUUUCAGCUGCAGUAAGUUUCAGAGCCUCUAAAAGAAAAAGUGGUUUGCGUGCUGACUAGCUCUAAAAAAAAAGUAAAUCUAAAAUAGUUGUGAGGGCACAAGAAAUCCCUAGAUACAGAAAGAAAAAUACUCUAAAGACGUUUCAGUCUUUCUUUUCCUAUAAACUUUUCCCAAGUUCUUCUCAUUUCACUUGUCCUCCCAGCAGCCUUAUGUAGAAACUGUUCCCUUUUCACCAAUAACAUCUCAAUCCUAAAGAAGAGCUGCCCUAGUGAGAUCAGAUCAGAUAACGGGUGAUGUUCUUAUUCACCUAGACAGAACUGAUUGGUUUUGUUCAUUUAUUUAUUUUUAAACAAUGUGUGUUCUUGGUUGCUCAAACUGCAGUUUAAUC